GAUGAACGCUAGCGGCAGGCUUAACACAUGCAAGUCGAGGGGUAGCAGGAUUUAGUUUACUAGAUUGCUGACGACCGGCGCACGGGUGAGUAACGCGUAUACAAUUUGCCUUUUACUGGAGGAUAGCCAAGAGAAAUUUUGAUUAAUACUCCAUAGUAUUAUUAGAUCACCUGGUUUGAUAAUUAAAGCUCCGGCGGUAAAAGAUGAGUAUGCGUCCUAUUAGCUAGAUGGUGAGGUAACGGCUUACCAUGGCGACGAUAGGUAGGGGUCCUGAGAGGGAGAUCCCCCACACUGGUACUGAGACACGGACCAG
rnacentral:rRNA from 1 species